UCUUUAGUACGAAAGGACCAAGGUUAUGAAAUAAUUUCUUUUUGUUGAUUAAUAUUAACUAUUUUGGCAGAAAAGUGCCAUGAAUUUAGAAUUCAUAAAUGUAAGUUAAUCUUACAGAUAGUAC
rnacentral:tRNA from 1 species